rnacentral:rRNA from 1 species
GUCCUGGCCCUAAACGUUGGGAACUAGGUAGUAGCCCGUGCAUGGGGUUACUGCCGGAGCAAAAGUGCUAAGUUCCCCGCCUGGGGAGUAUGGUCGCAAGGCUGAAACUCAAAGGAAUUGACGGGGGCUCACACAAGCGGUGGAGCAUGUGGCUCAAUUCGAGGCUACGCGAAGAACCUUAUCCCGGACUUGACAUGUGCGAAAGCGUCUGCAGGUAGGACCCGGAAACGGGAACGAACGGUAUCCAAUCCGGAAGCAGAUACAGGUGCUGCAUGGCUGUCGU